rnacentral:lncRNA from 1 species
UCACAUUGACGGGAUCAUGGGAAAGCAUGCAAAGUGCAGAUCAGCAGAUGCAACUGCAGACCGCGAGACAGUAGAACGCGUGACUGCUGGUUCUCUGAUUAACACAACUCUGCUACUCCAUCCCAUAGUCCACGCUCGAGGUCACUCCAACUGAUAUAUGAAUAUAUGAUGUACAACUUCUCCACCGCCAUGAAGAAGGGAUCGUCUGCUGAUCAGAUCAUCGACGGUAGAUGCUAAUGCUGCGCAGGCACGUAUAGGCUUGCCUGGAACUGGAACGGACGGGGAACAAUUGGGACGGUUUCAUUGGCCAGUCAGGGCUGAGACCACCUCGGUCUUCUUCCUGUACAUCACGUUCCACAAGUCCAGCGGUCGGGUACAACGGCUACUGCUCUGCCGCCGCGGCGAGCGGGGCAGACGUGUACGGUGUAGCAGCGAUGUGCGGUGCCGCGUGUCCCGCCGCCUGUAGGAACCGCUCGACGCCGAGGUGCGGCAGGAGGAGGCUGAGGCCGAGUCCGUCCUGCUGCGGCGGCUGCAGGUUGGCCUCGUCGGCGCCGGUGACGCGCUGCACCAUGGCGCGGAAGGUGGCGGCGUCGGUGCUGAUGUACAUGGUGGGCGCGCGCUUGGACGGCCGCGGCCGGCGCCGCUUCCCCGCGUGCCCGCCCGCCGGGCCCAGCCGGCACCGCGUGGACGAGGACAGCGACGCUACGCCCGUCGAGGUACAGUCCAUCACUGCCACGACGCCUUGCAUCAGCAUCGCCGCUGUCGCCGUGGUGACGAGGCCAGAGGUAAGGUGGGCCGAUGGAGCGGAGCUAGCCGGCACGGGCGACGACUAGGAUGUGUGGGGCUGGCUGCGAGUUUGGGAGGAGCCGAGGAGGCAUGGGCGCGGUGGGACUGGAGGUCGGACGUGGACCAUUGGAAGCUGAAUUUGAGUAAGUUUUCGGGUCCGUGUCGACACAACACACAGGCCGGCGUGGCAGCAUCUGCUGUGAGGAAAUGGCAUGGGGUUUCAAUCGGAUGGCUGACCUUUUCUGGACGACGUGGCUGCCGUGAGGCACUGAGAAUCCUUGUAGCUAUUAAGACACUGAGAAUCCUCACAUUGACGGGAUCAUGGGAAAGCAUGCAAAGUGCAGAUCAGCAGAUGCAACUGCAGACCGCAAGACAGUAGAACGCGUGACUGCUGGUUCUCUGAUUAACACAACUCUGCUACUCCAUCCCAUAGUCCACGCUCGAGGUCACUCCAACUGAUAUAUGAAUAUAUGAUGUACAACUUCUCCACCGCCAUGAAGAAGGGAUCGUCUGCUGAUCAGAUCAUCGACGGUAGAUGCUAAUGCUGCGCAGGCACGUAUAGGCUUGCCUGGAACUGGAACGGACGGGGAACAAUUGGGACGGUUUCAUUGGCCAGUCAGGGCUGAGACCACCUCGGUCUUCUUCCCGUACAUCACGUUCCAC